rnacentral:rRNA from 1 species
UACGUAGGGUGCAAGCGUUGUCCGGAAUUAUUGGGCGUAAAGAGCUCGUAGGCGGUUUGUCGCGUCUGCUGUGAAAACUCAGGGCUUAACCCUGAGCCUGCAGUGGGUACGGGCAGACUAGAGUGCGGUAGGGGAGAUUGGAAUUCCUAGUGUAGCGGUGGAAUGCGCAGAUAUCAGGAGGAACACCGAUGGCGAAGGCAGAUCUCUGGGCCGUAACUGACGCUGAGGAGCGAAAGCAUGGGGAGCGAACAGG